rnacentral:rRNA from 1 species
AUUGAACGCUGGCGGCAUGCUUUACACAUGCAAGUCGAACGGCAGCGCGGGCUUCGGCCUGGCGGCGAGUGGCGAACGGGUGAGUAAUACAUCGGAACGUGCCCAGUAGUGGGGGAUAGCUCGGCGAAAGCCGGAUUAAUACCGCAUACGACCUGAGGGUGAAAGCGGGGGAUCUUCGGACCUCGCGCUAUUGGAGCGGCCGAUGGCAGAUUAGCUAGUUGGUGGGGUAAAGGCCUACCAAGGCGACGAUCUGUAGCUGGUCUGAGAGGACGACCAGCCACACUGGGACUGAGACACGGCCCAGACUCCUACGGGAGGCAGCAGUGGGGAAUUUUGGACAAUGGGCGAAAGCCUGAUCCAGCAAUGCCGCGUGUGUGAUGAAGGCCUUCGGGUUGUAAAGCACUUUUGGCGGGAACGAAAAGGACUGUGCCAAUACCACGGUUCUAUGACGGUACCCGCAGAAUAAGCACCGGCUAACUACGUG